CUUCGCCAUAAAGAGGAGACUGAGUGAUUGGUGACACAACACACCUGCUCGUCUUCACGCAGGUGUUUUUAAUCAGCUCCUCCUCCUUUUCUUCCUCUUGCCAACAGUUCCGUGAUGUUACUUUGAAGAGAAGCUGCACUAGCCAUUGAACGAAAAAAAGACGCGAAAAAAGUGUCGCUGUUUAACUACUGAAACUGUUUCGGGAGGAGGGAAAAUUGCGGCGGUAAUGCACCAACUGCCAUAAAACCUCAAAAGGAGGGAACUUUAAAAAAGAAGAGAAAAAAAGAAAACUACCGCGGCGUGACGUCAGACGCCGAAAAGGUGACCGCGUGCAUCAGCUCUUGUAUAAAAACGCAGCAAGGCGCUCCAGGAUGGCGUGUUCGACCUGGUCCAGCUUGGUGGCCCGUCCAGAAUUGAACAACCUGCUUCCUGCUCACGGAGACCUGGUCGGACCCGCCAUAUACAAAAGCCUGAGGCUGUCAAAAAAAGAUUGAUCUUCAUGAACAUCGUCAAUUAGUAGGUGUCAUGGUUUAAUUCUGGGAGGCCGCCGUGUCCCCACUCUUUCUUGGCCGCUGUGCCUACAUCUCUCUGCAUUGUCCAACAUGGCCACGUUAUUUCUAUUCUCCUGCUUUCCAUCUGUCAAAUAGCUGAGGGUUGUACAUGGAGCAUUUGCCACAGGUUGGUUUUGUAUGUUCCUGACCACUUUAUUGGGUGGUCUGAAAUCUGGUCCUUGUUGGUUAUAUUUUUGUGGAACUGCUGAGCGAGUGAUUCGAAAGAAUGAGGUGACUGAUGGAGUGUUUGAAAUUCUCUCUCUGAAUGUGUGGGUUGUGUGAGACUGAGAUGCCUGGAUUGAAUAGUUAAGAUGGUCUGAGAAAAUGAUUAUGUUCAGCAGUUCACAUUAAAGUAGAUAAGGUGUCUUGAAGAGCUUAGAUGCUUGAUAAGUUAUAAUGCACUAACAUUUCCUUUUUAGGUCUGUCUACAAAGGGUGAGUCCAUAUUUUUUUCUUUUCUUUUGCAGAGUAGGAAUAAACAAAAUAAUACUUUUUGAAAAUGAAGGUACUUAAGUGUCGACAACUGACUUGCUAGUCUAGCUGCCCACAGCUAACUACCGAAUCACACUCUACAUGCAAAGGUGAAAACACGCCCCUCAAUGGAUGUGUUUUCUUGCCUUGCCACUGUGCCCUUAACAACUUUUUCUUUCCAACUGUUUCUUAGGACGGUAAGUGACACACAGGCCGCGGGCCAUCGCUCUUCCGGCCGCUGUGUCGAUCUGUCCUGGCCCUCCUCGUGCCUUUCCUCACUUCUAAAAGGAAAAAAAAAAAUCAACUUGAACUGUUUUCUUUAGCACAAAAAUAUAGUGAUGUUGGAGGACCAGAUCUUAAAUGAGGUUU